UAGGGAAUCUUCGGCAAUGGACGAAAGUCUGACCGAGCAACGCCGCGUGAGUGAAGAAGGUUUUCGGAUCGUAAAACUCUGUUGUUAGAGAAGAACAAGGACGUUAGUAACUGAACGUCCCCUGACGGUAUCUAACCAGAAAGCCACGGCUAACUACGUGCCAGCAGCCGCGGUAAUACGUAGGUGGCAAGCGUUGUCCGGAUUUAUUGGGCGUAAAGCGAGCGCAGGCGGUUUCUUAAGUCUGUUGUGAAAGCCCCCGGCUCAACCGGGGAGGGUCCUUGGAACCUGGGAGACUUGAGUGCAGAAGAGGAGAGUGGAAUUCCAUGUGUAGCGGUGAAAUGCGUAAAUAUAUGGAGGAACACCAGUGGCGAAGGCGGCUCUCUGGUCUGUAACUGACGAUGAGGCUCGAAAGCGUGGGGAGCAAACAGG
rnacentral:rRNA from 1 species